UAAAUCGUGAGAGAUAACCCGGAAAAAGCCGCGAAAAUUCUUUAUAAUAAAUAGAUGAACAAAAACAUCAUAUUAGGCGUAGGCUGAAGACGAGCUAGUACAAGAUAGCGAAGUCAUGGGAUCUAACGGCCACCGAAAAUGAUGCAGUUGUGCAAUGAAAGUUAAUGCU
rfam:Pseudoalteromonas tunicata D2 1099591001414, whole genome shotgun sequence.